GUAAAUUAUAGAGCAGAUUUCUUUUGGCAGAUGGCGAUCACAAGCCAAUGUGCUCAAAGGGCAUUGAGUGUGUCUGCCAAAGGAGAUUUGCUCGUGAAUUUAACU